UACUCGAACAACCAAAUUUGACAACAUUUGGACACAGCACACGUGUCAGCGUUUGAGCGGCCCACGUUUUGGUUGGAAAAAGCUGCUGCAGUCUGAGAAUUUCUGAUGAAACCUGCUUCAACGCUGACGUGGCGAGGACGGGCACGGGCAGUUUGGGGUGUGCGUUUCAAAAAUUAAAAUGAAAAUGAAAUAUCACUUGGAAAGGGAGCGGUCAGGGGUUUUUGUUUGGCGUUUGAAAUUUGAAUUUCAUUUUUGAACAAUUUUAGAGAGAAGUGAAGGUUGAGAGAGAGAGUCUAACCUAGAGAGAGCCCGAGAGAGUUGGAGAAAGGGAGUUCGAGAGAGAGAGGUCCGACGGAUUGCUUGCCGGAGUGCCGCCGGACAACGUUGAAGGCCGUCGGAGGUCCUCAACUCCUCCAGCCGGUUCCGAUUCACGGUCGCCGCAGCUCCGACGUUGGCGAACGAACCGAAGACGGCGUCGUCUUCCCUCCGGCCCAGCGAACUAGGUGCGCGUUCUGAGUCUCGCUUCGUCCCACCUGCUUCCCUCCCUGUGCCGGACCUUUGCAUUCACCGCCGGAGUGCCGCCGGAGUGGCGACUGUACGGUGGACGAAAAAGAGGGGUUUUCCGGGUUGUCAGUCCCACCCACACCGUAGGCAAUCGUCUCUGUUCCAACCGCCACACCUCGUGUUCACUCAAGCAGACUGACUGGAAAGAAACACACGCAGCUGCCACGGUUGACAUUGGACAAUUGGGCUUUGGCAAUUUAAGGAAGAAGCUACUAAUUCACUUGAGCUGGGAGGGUGCACUCGGUCCAAACAGCUGAUGCUUGUCUAGCUUAGUAAAGCCACGGUCCAACACAAGAUCACACAUCCCGCACCAAGGCAAUGAGGCCCACGGAAGAAGGGAAUGUAGCACUCUAGCCGAAGAGAAAACAGAAGAAAGCAAGAAGUGGUGUACACGUGAUGUAGAGCUGGACACGGUGCAUUCCAUUCUGGAACAAGAAGCACACUACACGUUGGAGGCAGUAGAGCAUACAAUAAGCGUGGGAGAUAUUAUUUUCUUUGGUUCAACUGGAAGACGCAUGGCCUGCACACUGACGCCCCAAGAGAAUAACAAACACAUCCAGCAUGGUCCGGAGGAAGAAAAUAGAAAAGAAAGAGGCUGCACUCAUUCACGCUCGGGGACUGAUAACUGCCACCUCCAGAAAUGCAGAAAGAAUAGUUGCACGCUUGCUGCCACUUUGGUUCAGGAAUUCUCUGAAAAGAGGAGUGGAGAAAUUAUUUUUGUAAGAGAGGUGGAGAACAAGAGAAGGUGGACGGCCAGGAGCAGGGAGAUUCUCCAACAACAACUCUAGGUUCUCAUCUUUUUUCCAGGGGCUCUGUAAGAAAGGGGGACGACAUUCAGCAUGCAGAUGGGGACGGGAGAACUCUCUCAUAUUGUUUUUGUUUCUUGGAGAACGUUGCCUUGAGAGAGGAGAACUGCACCCAGCCCACACCUCAGUACACAUCCAGCUGCCAUAUACUUCUCAGACGGACUCUCUCACCUUUGGCUCUUGGUCUUUGGAACGUUGCUUUUGGAGAUAGGAGGACUGCAUCCAGCUGCCAACUUGGAGGCGCACGUUCACGAGCCACCGCGUACGUACACAUCCAGCUGCAAAUGGUUUCGCUUGGAACGUCUUUGGAGAGCUUGGAAUGAGAGGUUGAAGCAGCACUGCAUCCACCUUGGAACGUUCUCUAAUAUUAAUUUUAUAUUUUCAGGUAUAGAAAGUUGAAGCAGCACUGUAUCAAAUCCAAUUUUUAAACAAUUUAAGAUAGGAUAUUUUAAAUCUAUUUAAACUGAUAAUUGUCAACACCCAAUUUCGUCCGAAUUGACUAAUAGAUUUGUUUUAUU